UACGUAGGAUGCAAGCGUUGUCCGGAUUUACUGGGCGUAAAGCGCGCGCAGGCGGCACUCUAAGUACGCUGUGAAAUAUCCCGGCUCAACCGGGAGGGUGCAGUGUAGACUAGGGAGCUAGAGGUCGGUAGAGGGGGGUGGAAUUGCUGGUGUAGCGGUGAAAUGCGUAGAGAUCAGCAGGAACACCCGUGGCGAAGGCGGCCCCCUGGGCCGUACCUGACGCUGAGGCGCGAAGGCUAGGGGAGCGAGCGGG
rnacentral:rRNA from 1 species